rnacentral:rRNA from 1 species
GAUAAACGUUUGCGGCGUGCCUGAUGCAUGCAAGUCGAACGCCCCAAUUUUUCGCAAGAUUGAUUGGGGAGUGGCGAACGGCUGAGUAACACGUAAGUAACCUGUCCCUAAGUGGGGGAUAACUUGCCGAAAGGCAGGCUAAUACCGCAUGUGCUGGUAAGCGACAGCUUAUCAGUAAAGCUUUUGCGCUUGAGGAGGGGCUUGCGUCUGAUUAGCUAGUUGGUAGGGUAAUGGCCUACCAAGGCGAUGAUCAGUAGCUGGUCUGAGAGGACGACCAGCCAGGCGGGGACUGAGAUACGGCCCUGACUCCUACGGGAGGCAGCAGCAAGGAAUUUUGCGCAAUGGGCGAAAGCCUGACGCAGCGACGCCGCGUGGGGGAUGACGGCCUUCGGGUUGUAAACCCCUUUUCUAGAGGAAGAAAUCUGACGGUACUCUAGGAAUAAGUCUUGGCUAACUACGUGCCAGCGGCCGCGGUAAUACGUAGAAGGCGAACGUUAUCCGGAUUUACUGGGCGUAAAGCGGGUGUAGACGGUUUUUUAAGUCAGUUGUGAAAUCUCCUAACUCAAUUGGGAGACUGCAAUUGAUACUGGAGAACUUGAGGGCAUCAGAAGAAAGCAGAAUUCACGGUGUAGCGGUGAAAUGCGUAGAUAUCGUGAGGAAUACCAGUGGCGCAAGCGGCUUUCUGGGAUGCUCCUGACGUUGAGGCCCGAAAGUGUGGGGGAGCGAAAC